UACAGAGGGUGCAAGCGUUGUUCGGAAUUAUUGGGCGUAAAGCGCGUGUAGGCGGCUUGGCAAGUCAGAUGUGAAAGCCCCUCGGCUUAACCGAGGAAGUGCGUCUGAAACUGCUGAGCUUGAGUGUCGGAGAGGAUGGCGGAAUUCCGCAAGUAGAGGUGAAAAUUCGUAGAUAUGCGGAGGAACACCGGUGGCGAAGGCGGCCAUCUGGACGACUACUGACGCUGAGACGCGAAAGCGUGGGGAGCAAACAGG
rnacentral:rRNA from 1 species